GAUGAAGAACGUAGCGAAAUGCGAUACGUAAUGUGAAUUGCAGAAUUCAGUGAAUCAUCGAAUCUUUGAACGCAUAUUGCGCUCUCUGGUAUUCCGGAGAGCAUGCUUGUUUGAGUAUCAGUAAACACCUCAACUUCCAUAUCUUUUUUGAAAUGGGAGUUGGACUUGAGGGAUCCCAACGCUUUUCCUCACCGAAAAGUGGCGGGUUACUUGAAAUGCAGGUGCAGCUGGACUUUUCUCUGAGCUAUAAGCAUAUCUAUUUAGUCUGCCUAAAAAACAGAUUAUUACCUUUGCUGCAGCUAACAUAAAGGAGAUUAGUUCUUGUGCUGACUGAUGCAGGAUUCACAAAGACGGCUUCGGCCGACUUUGUAAACUCGAUCUCAAAUCAAGUAAGACUACCCGCUGAACUUAAGCAUAUCAAUAAGCGGAGGA
rnacentral:misc_RNA from 1 species